AGUCCAGGUGGUCGCCUUCGCCACUGAGUGUUCCUUCCUAUAUCUACGCAUUUCACCGCUACACAGGAAAUUCCACCACCCUCUACCGUACUCUAGUCAGGCAGUUAUGGAUGCAGUUCCCAGGUUGAGCCCGGGGAUUUCACAUCCAUCUUACCAAACCACCUACGCGCGCUUUACGCCCAGUAAUUCCGAUUAACGCUUGCACCCUUCGUAUUACCGCGGCUGCUGGCACGAAGUUAGCCGGUGCUUAUUCUGUUGGUAACGUCAAAACAGCAAGGUAUUAACUUACUGCCCUUCCUCCCAACUUAAAGUGCUUUACAAUCCGAAGACCUUCUUCACACACGCGGCAUGGCUGGAUCAGGCUUUCGCCCAUUGUCCAAUAUUCCCCACUGCUGCCUCCCGUAGGAGUCUGGACCGUGUCUCAGUUCCAGUGUGACUGAUCAUCCUCUCAGACCAGUUACGGAUCGUCGCCUUGGUAGGCCUUUACCCCACCAACUAGCUAAUCCGACCUAGGCUCAUCUGAUAGCGCAAGGCCCGAAGGUCCCCUGCUUUCUCCCGUAGGACGUAUGCGGUAUUAGCGUUCCUUUCGAAACGUUGUCCCCCACUACCAGGCAGAUUCCUAGGCAUUACUCACCCGUCCGCCGCUGAAUCCAGGAGCAAGCUCCCAUCAUCCGCUCGACUUGCAUGUGUUAGGCCUGC
rnacentral:rRNA from 1 species